AUUGAAUGCUGGCGGCAUGCUUAACACAUGCAAGUCGAGCGAGCGGCGGACGGGUGAGUAAUGUCUGGGAAACUGCCUGAUGGAGGGGGAUACCUACUGGAAACGGUAGCUAAUACCGCAUACCAUCCGAUUAUCCCAGAUGGGAUUAGCUAGUAGGUGGGGUAAUGGCUCACCUAGGCGACGAUCCCUAGCUGGUCUGCGAGGAUGACCAGCCACACUGGAACUGAGACACGGUCCAGACUCCUACGGGAGGAAGCAGUGGGGAAUAUUGCACAAUGGGCGCAAGCCUGAUACAGCCAGGCCGCGUGUGUGAAGAAGGCCUUCGGGUUGUAAAGCACUUUCAGCGAGGAGGCGUUACUCGCAGAAGAAGCAACGGCUAACUACGUGCCAGCAGCCGCGGUAAUUC
rnacentral:rRNA from 1 species